AGAUAUAUGAUGUAUAAUUAGGUAGGCCCGUCCUGACAAGUCGGCCAUCAAUCCACCGCAGGAAGGGCCGGUGCUGUCGCCAGCGCUGUGUACACCAGUUUCACGUGGCAAAUGGUAGCAGUGAAAGUAAGCGGAGAUUUUCUCGGAACGUGUUCGACAUAGUGGCUUACUGUUAUGUGCCGCGAUGUCGCGGCGUUUGUUAUGAAGAGCGCUGGUUCAUGUCCUGUGACGAGACAAGGCGCUGUCUGCGGGCGUUGCGCCAGGGUGUGGUCCUCGGGAGCGCAUAGUGCGGGACGCCCUCCAAACAGAAAGCGUCACGGGUCAGCCAGCUUUUACUUGCGCCACAAGUGGCAGACAGACAGCUUAGACCACUGCGAACAACCUUCGAGUCUCGGGUGAAGGCAAUUUGUGUAAUUUCAUGUGAUGUCGGGCGUGAGAGUAGUGAUGUCCCUCAGCUUCGUAGGAUUCUGUGUCCUAUCACGCGUUCGCUCCAGCUUGAAUUUCUGGACGAAAUUGAAAUAAAGGUAUUCCUUAGCGUCCAUCUAAUUUUUUGUUGGCUAAGGGC
rnacentral:lncRNA from 1 species